rnacentral:rRNA from 1 species
UACAGAGGGUGCAAGCGUUAAUCGGAAUUACUGGGCGUAAAGCGCGCGUAGGUGGUUUGUUAAGUUGGAUGUGAAAGCCCCGGGCUCAACCUGGGAACUGCAUUCAAAACUGACAAGCUAGAGUAUGGUAGAGGGUGGUGGAAUUUCCUGUGUAGCGGUGAAAUGCGUAGAUAUAGGAAGGAACACCGGUGGCGAAGGCGGCCCCCUGGGCUGGUACUGACGCUGAUGCGCGAAAGCGUGGGUAGCAAACGGG